CUAAGCGUACACGGUGGAUGCCCUGGCAGUCAGAGGCGAUGAAGGGCGUGCUAAUCUGCGAUAAGCGCCGGUAAGGUGAUAUGAACCGUUAUAACCGGCGAUACCCGAAUGGGGAAACCCAGUGUGAUUCGUCACACUAUCAUUAACUGAAUCCAUAGGUUAAUGAGGCGAACCGGGGGAACUGAAACAUCUAAGUACCCCGAGGAAAAGAAAUCAACCGAGAUUCCCCCAGUAGCGGCGAGCGAACGGGGAGGAGCCCAGAGCCUGAAUCAGCAUGUGUGUUAGUGGAAGCGUCUGGAAAGGCGCGCGAUACAGGGUGACAGCCCCGUACACAAAAGCGCAUGUGCUGUGAGCUCGAUGAGUAGGGCGGGACACGUGGUAUCCUGUCUGAAUAUGGGGGGACCAUCCUCCAAGGCUAAAUACUCCUGACUGACCGAUAGUGAACCAGUACCGUGAGGGAAAGGCGAAAAGAACCCCGGCGAGGGGAGUGAAAAAGAACCUGAAACCGUGUACGUACAAGCAGUGGGAGCCCCACCACUAAGCCAGUGGUGAACUCCACAUCCGCAUCCUUUGCUGAGGAUACGGUUAACGGAGCGAAAGCGACGUUCAACCGCAAAACAAGCAGAGGGGGCUUAGUGGUGGGGUGACUGCGUACCUUUUGUAUAAUGGGUCAGCGACUUAUAUUCUGUAGCAAGGUUAACCGAAUAGGGGAGCCGGAGGGAAACCGAGUCUUAAUUGGGCGUUAAGUUGCAGGGUAUAGACCCGAAACCCGGUGAUCUAGCCAUGGGCAGGUUGAAGGUUGGGUAACACUAACUGGAGGACCGAACCGACUAAUGUUGAAAAAUUAGCGGAUGACCUGUGGCUGGGGGUGAAAGGCCAAUCAAACCGGGAGAUAGCUGGUUCUCCCCGAAAGCUAUUUAGGUAGCGCCUCGUGAAUUCAUCUCCGGGGGUAGAGCACUGUUUCGGCUAGGGGGCCAUCCCGGCUUACCAACCCGAUGCAAACUGCGAAUACCGGAGAAUGUUAUCACGGGAGACACACGGCGGGUGCUAACGUCCGUCGUGAAGAGGGAAACAACCCAGACCGCCAGCUAAGGUCCCAAAGUCAUGGUUAAGUGGGAAACGAUGUGGGAAGGCCCAGACAGCCAGGAUGUUGGCUUAGAAGCAGCCAUCAUUUAAAGAAAGCGUAAUAGCUCACUGGUCGAGUCGGCCUGCGCGGAAGAUGUAACGGGGCUAAACCAUGCACCGAAGCUGCGGCAGCGAACGUAUCACCCAAGACAACUUUACGGAGUUGACGAUUGACGGAGCGAAGCGACGUCAAAGCGUUCAUUAAAGUCGAGUUGGCUUAGGGAUACGUUCGUUGGGUAGGGGAGCGUUCUGUAAGCCUGUGAAGGUGUGUCGUGAGGCAUGCUGGAGGUAUCAGAAGUGCGAAUGCUGACAUAAGUAACGAUAAAGCGGGUGAAAAGCCCGCUCGCCGGAAGACCAAGGGUUCCUGUCCAACGUUAAUCGGGGCAGGGUGAGUCGACCCCUAAGGCGAGGCCGAAAGGCGUAGUCGAUGGGAAACGGGUUAAUAUUCCCGUACUUGGUGUUACUGCGAAGGGGGGACGGAGAAGGCUAUGUUGGCCGGGCGACGGUUGUCCCGGUUUAAGCGUGUAGGUGUGUGUUCCAGGUAAAUCCGGUUCACUUUAACACUGAGGCGUGACGACGAGGCACUACGGUGCUGAAGCAACAAAUGCCCUGCUUCCAGGAAAAGCCUCUAAGCAUCAGGUAACACGAAAUCGUACCCCAAACCGACACAGGUGGUCAGGUAGAGAAUACCAAGGCGCUUGAGAGAACUCGGGUGAAGGAACUAGGCAAAAUGGUGCCGUAACUUCGGGAGAAGGCACGCUGACACGUAGGUGAAGUGAUUUACUCAUGGAGCUGAAGUCAGUCGAAGAUACCAGCUGGCUGCAACUGUUUAUUAAAAACACAGCACUGUGCAAACACGAAAGUGGACGUAUACGGUGUGACGCCUGCCCGGUGCCGGAAGGUUAAUUGAUGGGGUCAGCGCAAGCGAAGCUCCUGAUCGAAGCCCCGGUAAACGGCGGCCGUAACUAUAACGGUCCUAAGGUAGCGAAAUUCCUUGUCGGGUAAGUUCCGACCUGCACGAAUGGCGUAAUGAUGGCCAGGCUGUCUCCACCCGAGACUCAGUGAAAUUGAACUCGCUGUGAAGAUGCAGUGUACCCGCGGCAAGACGGAAAGACCCCGUGAACCUUUACUAUAGCUUGACACUGAACAUUGAGCCUUGAUGUGUAGGAUAGGUGGGAGGCUUUGAAGUGUGGACGCCAGUCUGCAUGGAGCCGACCUUGAAAUACCACCCUUUAAUGUUUGAUGUUCUAACGUGGACCCGUAAUCCGGGUUGCGGACAGUGUCUGGUGGGUAGUUUGACUGGGGCGGUCUCCUCCUAAAGAGUAACGGAGGAGCACGAAGGUUGGCUAAUCCUGGUCGGACAUCAGGAGGUUAGUGCAAUGGCAUAAGCCAGCUUGACUGCGAGCGUGACGGCGCGAGCAGGUGCGAAAGCAGGUCAUAGUGAUCCGGUGGUUCUGAAUGGAAGGGCCAUCGCUCAACGGAUAAAAGGUACUCCGGGGAUAACAGGCUGAUACCGCCCAAGAGUUCAUAUCGACGGCGGUGUUUGGCACCUCGAUGUCGGCUCAUCACAUCCUGGGGCUGAAGUAGGUCCCAAGGGUAUGGCUGUUCGCCAUUUAAAGUGGUACGCGAGCUGGGUUUAGAACGUCGUGAGACAGUUCGGUCCCUAUCUGCCGUGGGCGCUGGAGAACUGAGGGGGGCUGCUCCUAGUACGAGAGGACCGGAGUGGACGCAUCACUGGUGUUCGGGUUGUCAUGCCAAUGGCACUGCCCGGUAGCUAAAUGCGGAAGAGAUAAGUGCUGAAAGCAUCUAAGCACGAAACUUGCCCCGAGAUGAGUUCUCCCUGAGACUUAGAGUCUCCUGAAGGAACGUUGAAGACGACGACGUUGAUAGGCCGGGUGUGUAAGCGCAGCGAUGCGUUGAGCUAACCGGUACUAAUGAACCGUGAGGCUUAACCUUACAACGCCGAAG
rnacentral:rRNA from 1 species